rnacentral:rRNA from 1 species
GUACUCCUACGGGACGCAGCAGUGGGGGAUAUUGCACAAUGGGGGAAACCCUGAUGCAGCGACGCCGCGUGGGUGAAGAAGCGCCUCGGCGCGUAAAGCCCUGUCAGCAGGGAAGAAAAUGACGGUACCUGAAGAAGAAGCCCCGGCUAACUACGUGCCAGCAGCCGCGGUAAUACGAAGGGGGCAAGCGUUAUCCGGAUUUACUGGGUGUAAAGGGCGUGGAGCCGGGCCGGCA